rnacentral:rRNA from 1 species
UACGUAGGCAACGAGCGUUGUUCGGAGUUACUGGGCGUAAAGGGUGUGUAGGCGGUUGUUUAAGUUUGGUGUGAAAUCUCCCGGCUCAACUGGGAGGGUGCGCCGAAUACUGAAUGACUCGAGUGCGGGAGAGGAAGUGGAAUUCCUGGUGUAGCGGUGAAAUGCGUAGAUAUCAGGAGGAACACCGGUGGUGUAGACGGCUUUCUGGACCGUAACUGACGCUGAGACACGAAAGCGUGGGUAGCAAACAGG